GCAUUGGUGGUUCAGUGGUAGAAUUCUUGGCUUCCGUACUGGAGACCUGAGUUCUAUUCCCAGCCAAUGCA
rnacentral:tRNA from 1 species